rnacentral:rRNA from 1 species
CAGCAGCCGCGGUAACACGUAGGGUGCGAGCGUUAAUCGGAAUUACUGGGCGUAAAGCGUGCGCAGGCGGUUGUGUAAGACAGGUGUGAAAUCCCCGGGCUUAACCUGGGAACUGCGCUUGUGACUGCACAGCUAGAGUAUGGCAGAGGGGGGUGGAAUUCCACGUGUAGCAGUGAAAUGCGUAGAGAUGUGGAGGAACACCGAUGGCGAAGGCAGCCCCCUGGGCCAAUACUGACGCUCAUGCACGAAAGCGUGGGGAGCAAACAGGAUUAGAUACCCCUGUAGUCCCUGUCUCUUAUAA